GUGUCGGAAAGGUAUAAAACUCAGAGAUUGUUGUGAUUUCUAGUUCAUACCGUCUUGCUGAUUCUUAAGUCUGUUCUGUCUUGUUUGAGUACAUCCAGCCAUCAUUAGAAUGAAUACGAAGGUUCUUCUAGCCCUUGCCAUCGUGGCUGCCCUGGUGGUGCUUGUCACUCCAUACUACACAGAAGAAGACGCUGAUGAAUUUGAGAAGAGAGGAGCUUGGGACGAUUCCGAUAUGGACGACUUUGAAUACAUGCUGCAGAAACGCGGACGGGGCAGACAAUACAUCCGUUGCAUUGACCAGAUCACAGGACAGAGGUGUGCGUGCGACAAGGUCAGAGGUCGAUCAAUCAACAGGUGCAAGAAGUAAACAAGCCUAUAUUUCCGUCAGUUCGUCGUAGCACGUAGACGCAAGAGCAGUAGCUAAGAUGUCAUCCGAGCCUCCAUGUGCGUUGGUCAGAUCACGUGACUAUUGGAGUAUGGCGCCCUCUCUCAGCUCUUCCUUAGUCUCCCCAUGACGUAGUAUCCACAACCCCUACUUAUUAGUUGUGGUCUUUAUAAAAUAAAAUACCCUGUCCCAAAAAAUGAUAGAAAUAUACGUUUUUUACAAGUAACAGAUCCCCUAUUUUUAUAGUCAUUUAGCCAGGAUCCCAGUUGAAAAUAUGUUGAACCUAAAAAAUAACUGUAUUCGAAUAACUUAUUACACCAAAUUCUUUAAAACAAAACCUGCCAUUCCCUUUUAAUAAUUAAUCGUAAAGACAACCAAAAACGCUUACACUGUGAAAGUAAUUUGGGGAUAGGCCUACAUUAAAUCCAAUGUUUUUAGUAGGAACUCGGGGAAAUGCAAUUCCAUUUAAUGGUUUACAAUCUACCCUUAUCUUACACUAUUCGGUGCUUUAUCUGUGUGGUUGAAUCUUUAAUAAAAUGAAGCCUUGAUUGAAAAAAGUA